GUCUCUCUGUAUACUUCUUGCCCCAGAGGCGGCGCGGGUGCUUGGCCCUCUGACUCCCCACUGAACUCACCCCCAGGGAGGCACCAGCAGGACAAGAGGGAACUUAGCGCACGUGUUUAUCCCCUCUGUUCCUCCCAGGCCGCGAACGUCUGAUCGCCCCUUCUGGAUAUGUGGUUGGAUACAUUUGGGAUGUGAAGUAACAUAUAAGUGAACUUCAGCCUUCAGUGCAGAGAAGUCUUGGAGGAGUGUGGAGAAUAAAGGUCAAAAUCUGAGUGUGCAUCUCUGUGGUAACUGUGACUGCUGAUGAGGGCGUCGGGGAAGGAGCUGCUGACACCAGGUUUGAGCCAGUCUGCACUUGAUACCAAGAACACAAGACUGACUUGUCCCAGGAGGGACAGUAAGUCACAACACAAGCAGUGUGGACCAGAAGAAGAAUGCUCUGAGUACACCAACGGACGAUGCAGCUCUGCCAGGAGAACCCAGAGAUUCAUGGGAAGUUGUUCUACUCAUAAACUACAUCUUGCGAGGAAAGAUGACUCAUUGGAAAAGACCCUGAUACUGGGUAAGAUUGAAGGCAAAAGGAGAAGGGGGCGGCAGAGGACGAGGUUAUACUGUAUCGCCAACUCAAUGGACAUGAAUGUGAGCAAACUCUGGGAGAUGGUGAUGAACAGGGGAGCCUGGCAUGCUGCAGUCCAUGGGGUCGGUCUCAAAGAGUCACACCCAACUUAG
rnacentral:lncRNA from 1 species